UACGUAGGGGGCAAGCGUUGUCCGGAUUUAUUGGGCGUAAAGAGCGUGUAGGCGGCUUUACAGGUCCGUUGUGAAAACUCGAGGCUCAACCUCGAGAUGUCGGCGGAAACCACUUGGCUAGAGUCCGGAAGAGGAGAGUGGAAUUCCUGGUGUAGCGGUGAGAUGCGCAGAUAUCAGGAGGAACACCUAUUGCGAAGGCAGCUCGCUGGGACGUAACUGACGCUGAGACGCGAAAGCGUGGGGAGCAAACAGG
rnacentral:rRNA from 1 species